GACGAACGCUGGCGGCGUGCCUAAUACAUGCAAGUGGGACGCAAGGAAACACACUGUGCUUGCACACCGUGUUUUCUUGAGUCGCGAACGGGUGAGUAACGCGUAGGUAACCUGCCUAUUAGCGGGGGAUAACUAUUGGAAACGAUAGCUAAUACCGCAUAAUAUUAAUUAUUGCAUGAUAAUUGAUUGAAAGAUGCAAGCGCAUCACUAGUAGAUGGACCUGCGUUGUAUUAGCUAGUUGGUAAGGUAAGAGCUUACCAAGGCGACGAUACAUAGCCGAGCUGAGAGGGUGAUCGGCCACACUGGGACUGAGACACGGCCCAGACUCCUACGGGAGGCAGCAGUAGGGAAUCUUCGGCAAUGGACGAAAGUCUGACCGAGCAACGCCGCGUGAGUGAAGAAGGUUUUCGGAUCGUAAAGCUCUGUUGUAAGUCAAGAACGUGUGUGAGAGUGGAAAGUUCACACAGUGACGGUAGCUUACCAGAAAGGGACGGCUAACUACGUG
rnacentral:rRNA from 1 species